rnacentral:rRNA from 1 species
GUUGAACGCUGGCGGCGUGCCUUACACAUGCAAGUCGAACGGCAGCGCGGACUUCUUUCUGGCGUCGAGUUGCGAACGGGUGAGUAAUACAUCGGAACGUACCCUGUUUUGGGGGCUAACUAGUCGUAAGAUAAGCUAAUACCGUAUCCGACCUGAUGUUGAAAGUGGUGGACCACAAGUGAUCACGCGUCAGGAGCUGCCGAUGUCUGAUUAGCUAGGUGGUGGGGUAAAGGCCCACCAAGGCGACGAUCAGUAGCUGGUCUGAGAGGACGAUCAGCCACACUGGAACUGAGACACGGUCCAGACUCCUACGGGAGGCAGCAGUGGGGAAUUUUCGACAAUGGGCGCAAGCCUGAUCCAGCAACGCCGCGUGUGUGAAGAAGGCCUUCGGAUUGUAAAGCACUUUUGUCAGGAAAGAAAAAGUGCUGGUUAAUCCCUGGCGUGGAUGACGGUACCGGAAGAAUAAGCCACGGCUAACUACGUG